rnacentral:misc_RNA from 1 species
CAAGAGGUUGCCCUCCCUAUCUCGUUCUGUUCCCCAUUUCAUGUCUGAUUAUUAUUUUGUUGUUUUUCGUUCUCGUGCACGGCCUCUACUUGCUCCACUACGCUCUCACUCUCGGCAUCUAGCAGGGGUACGCACCGAUUCGCCGGCUAACACACAUACACACACACACACACACACGCAAGGCACACGCACGCACGUACGCACAAAACUCUUUGCGGUAAAGAAACAGCUUCACAGACGCUCUCGGGGGUGCUUUGGUGUUGUUGCCUUCGCCCCUGCCCUCCUCGUCGUCCAUCUCGUCGUCCUCCUCUCUUCCCCUUCAAUUUUCUCCUUCUCUGUCCUCCGUCUCCCACCACGCCUCCGCCGCCCCCCUCCUCCCCAUUCUUCUUUAUCUUUUUUUUUUUUUGACUGCGUCACCUUUUUUCGACUCGCUUUCGCCUCCCAUCUUCACACACACACGUGUGCACGCGCCGAUCGGGACCGUUGGACCUGAAAAGGCCAACACGAGAUCGAGCGCCAGCAUUGGUCCACUUUAGGCGCUUUUUGCUUGCUUGUUCAAGUAGCUGCGAAGAGUGUGACAGGUGGGCCUUCGCGUUGUGCUCUGUCUCACCCCUCUCCCUGGCGUGUAUUCUUAAUUUCACUUUUCUCCCCCUUUUGUUCUUCUUUUCCGUUCUGCCCCCCCCCCUUCCCGCCAUUGCCCUUCGCUUAUCUGUUUGGUUGCGUUUGGCGGUUGCGGCGGCGUGCUCGUUGAACUCGUCUUCGUCUCUCUCCCUCCGCGUAAUCUUUCCCCUCCGCUGUUUUUUCUUUCAUUUUUUUUUGUGUGGCUUUUCGCCCGUCUCUGUCCUCUUGUGGGCCUUGCCGUGCUUGUGUGUGUGUGCUCAUAGUAAUCGCACUUGUUGUUCCUUGGGGUGGAGGGGGGGCUCCUCCUCCUGUUUUGUUAUAUUCUCUUGGGUUCUGUCUCACACAUCUCGGGCACUUCUGUGUCUAUUCCGCAUCGCCGUCUUCUCUGUCUUAUUUUUAGUUUUGUUUGGUGCCAGCUACUUGGCGUGUGCACUCUCACCUCUCCUUCAUUCUCUUCUCCCCUGUCCCGGUGCCUUUCGAGUGCUGGCGCUGAUUACUGGCUGAUCCGCCCGACGUGCCCGAACUUCCGCGACUCCAUCACUCGCCUCUGAGACACAACCACCCCCACGCACGGACGCACACACGCACACACACCACACCGUGCACCUCGUGGCGAGAGGGACGUGCACACAACACGAACAAGACCGACGGAGACCGUACAGUAGAUGAUCUCGCCCUUCUCAUAGGGCCCAGCACGCGGAGACGAUCACCUGCGUUAUUAUUAUUGUUGCAUGCGGAUUUGGCGUACAACGCACCACAAGAGGCGGUAGAGAGGCGACUCGCAAACACAAACAAAAAUGCCCAAGGUGGUGUGUGUGUGGCGCGGCUCGGAUGAGAUCGACAACGCCAUCGAGCACCUCGACGAAGCAAAGGUGCAGUUAUUGUAUUCGAAGUUCCCUGUAGGCUCGGGCACCUUCAAGCGCAACAAGUUCAUCUACGUACAGUAUAUUGGGCCCAAGUGCAGUAUUGUGAAGCGUGGCCAGGGCAUCAAUGAGAUCACCAACUUUACGACAAACAACAUCCGCGGCGUCCCUGGCUUUCCACGACCGACAAGGCGUCUCUCUCUUUCGAGUCCCUUGUGCGGCACAUGCGCGACACCUUCGUCAUGGACAGCGGCAACUUCUCCAUGGAGCAGAUCCGCGAGGAGUACCGCGAGCGACUAGCAGCAGAGCAGAUGAUGAUGCAUCAGGAGCGUGAGCAGGCGGCCGUAGUGGCCGCCACGGCAAAGCGAGGACGUCGCAACACCGCACCAAGCGUGCGAUUGGCGCCGAAGCCGGCUCCACCGCCGACGAAGGAGGAGCGUCCGAGCAGCCCGGUAGAGGUGUCAGCGCAGACGAACCGUGUCAUGACGUCUCUGCGCCAGGACAACGGCUCCGUCAACUGGGUAGUUUUCGAAUCGAAUUCGGAGGUACUGACUGUACGUGCCUACGGCCAACAUGGCAUCUUUGAGAUGGUGAAGAACCUCCCUGAUGAAGAGUGGCUCUUUGGGCUCUUUCGCAUCUCCUUUUCCAACGGCGAAGUCCAUCAGCGCCGAAUGAUUUUCUUCCAGUGGAUCGGUAGUAGUUUGAAAGCGAUGCGCGGCGGUAGUCACGCCGGGGUCUACCCAGCGAUGGCAAAGGCCCUCUCCCCCUUCAACUACGAGAUUUACCUCGUUGGCCGGCAAGACUUGAAUCCGCAGGCCAUUAUCGCCAAGUCGAAGAGCGCCUUCCGUACCCCGGCAGACAGGCGGAUCGGUGUAGCGCGGGAUUUCAUGAUAGACAGCACUGUUUUUACAGAGGAGAACUACCGUCAAUCGCUCGUUGAGGAGCAGGCGACCGCCGAAGUGUUCGAGGAGCGCCCGAAGAAGACGCACCGACUCACCAUGCCAAUCAUACCUGACGGCAUAGAGCAGAGCUCGGCGAGCGUGGCCACCACCGGGACGGCCGACAGCCCAGCGGCACAGAGUUUCUCCAUCGAAGAGACGAUCGAUCUGGUGCAGGCGAAGGAGGGGGGACUCGUGUGGGCCAUUUUCGAGGUCCUAUAGUCGAGAGAGAGAGAGAGCGCUACCGAAAACGAAAAGGCGAAAAGACGCAGAAGAAAAGAGAAGGGACGAGAGCGCCCAACAUCGCUUUGCGAGGGUCUUGUGUUUGUGCGUGCGUGUGUGGAUGUUGUUAUCGUCGGGUGCGCGUGUUUGGCGCGCUUGGCUCCACCGCUGCAAACGAAAGGAAAGAGAAAAAGUGAUGAGCUUGCGUGCGUUGGUGUCUAUGUUACCUGCAGCGCCCUGCACAUCUUGCCCUCCCUGUUUUCCUUCACUCUGUUCAUCCUCUCUCUUUUUUCUUCUCUCCCCGUUUCCUGCGUGGAUAUCACCAGCAAACGCCCCUCUCUCCGACUUGUACGUACACGAAACCGCACAAGAGCAAGGAAGGCACCAAGUGGCGUGUUCGUCAUGCCAAUCGCUUUUUCUGUUUCUUUGUGUAUCCCUCAACGCCCUUUCUCGUCUUUGUGCGUUUCUUUUUUUUGGUCGCUUUUCUUUUUUUUUCGGCGUGCAUGGUUUCUGUGCUUGUGCUUGCAUGUCUGUAUAUGUGCAUAUACGUAUGUGCGUGAGGCGGUGUGUGUCUUUUCGUGUAUCUCUCCCCCACCCCCAGGACUCUUUUGCCUUUGGUGUGUUGGUUGUGCUCUCCCUCUGUCUGUCUCUCGCCUUUUUUCUCGUUGCUUUAGUUCUCCCCUCUCCUGCCGUUUGAUAGUCAUGUUCUUUGGUGCUUUUUCUCUAUUUCGCUCGUUCCCCCUCCACUCGUGCUCUCCCGCUGCAUGUGUGAAGGGCUGUGCUUUAAUCGUUUCUGUUUUGGCUUAGCUCUUCCGUCUUCUUCAGGUGCAUAUGUGUGUGUUUUUGCAUGCGCUCGUGCCGCAUCUUUAUUUUUUUUUCUUUCGCAUCCUUUUCUUUUUGUGCCCCUUUUCCUCAACCCCCCCCACCACCACCAACACCACACUCCUCACCGAUGCCGGCCGGCGGCGUCACCGUCGUAUCAGGGCCCCGUACCCCACACUCUUUGUGGGGGAAGCCAAGCGCCUGCACAGCCCGCCCUCGGGGCACGGCUGGCCGACUCUCGGUGCCAGUGGACAGGUCUGGGCCGGUGCUGUGCCGAGGUGACCUGCGGGUCAUGGCCACGCUUGUAACGACUCACUACAAAUCGUGUCGACAGGUCGUCGAAUGCACGCAUCCGCCCACGUUUUAUUCCUGCUCUUGCUGCGUUGCGGCGAUGCCGAGUGUGAUCCCGUGCCUGGUCUGCGCUGCCUGCAGUGGAAUCCAAGUGGGCGGAACGACGCCCAACGGUGCUGGCUGGCGCGCGCCCGUCACGAAGCGUGGGCACAGGGGUCUGCAUUCUGUAAGACCCGCAGCUCACCCUCACAGGCCCCACAGCGCACCUGGCGUGCCAGCCUCUCAGCAUCCCGGUGUAGCAAGAGAGAGGAGGCACCGCCCUGGCGUCCCCGUGCUCAGAGCACGACACGGGCACAACUGUACGCCCUCCCCCUCCUCUCAACGACAAAAGCGCCGCAGCGGCGUUGCGGCUGUACUGCCACGUCCCAGCUGGGCGCAUACACACCACGUCGGGCUGCACACCUAACAGUCACCUCGCGGCACGGGAGGCUCUCCAUCACACACCAGGCAGCGUCGCACGCAGCCCACACGCCAUCGGGGCGGGGGCCGGCUCGCGCCGCCGGGUGCCCGACACGAGAUGACGACCCGGCCGGCCAGGGAGGGGACCACCCCACACGAUUGGCCCAAUGAUGACCACCUGACGUGUGCAAGCCAUAGCGACACCACGGCACGGGACACCGCCGACACCGCCACGCAGACGCACACCUGCGAGGUGUCCCGCAAGGCCACGGCAAGAUGCACGACGGCGGCCAACAACACCCACGAAGGCGGGCCCCUCUCGUGGCGCCGCCUACUCAGCGCUCUGCACGCCAAAGCUGACGCGAUUGGAAGCAGAUCUUGCGACGCUGCCCUGCGUGCCGCCGUCUUUCGGUCAUGCUCAUGAUACAGCCAGCCUCGAGGGAUGGAUGCAGUCCUGCUGCGCCCUCACUCCGCCCCGCCCUGUCACGCCGACCAGCACCCGGCGCGAAAGCCCCUCCAGCGAAUAGCCUCGCGACGACUGCGCGAUCGUUCUGCGAGACAGGCUCCAGCAGCGCCAGCAAGGGACACAGAGACAGCCGCGGCGUUUGUCGGCCCUACCGACCGCACGCUCAGCUGCGCACAUCACGGCGCCUCAGAGGCCCAGCCGCGCCCGCACCACACUCGCCGCAUCAUGGCUCUCCCACACCAUCGCCCCGCCCUCUGUGUUCGCGCCGCCCACAAGAACAUGUCGAAGAUGGCCAGGCGUUCAUGCCAGUCGCCAACCAUCCCCUGGCCUCUUCACCCAUCAUGGUGGUGGACCCCCGAGCGUGCAGCGCAACCGGACGCCGGCACGGCACCACGCCAUCCGUGCUCAUCACACCACACUCCCCACAUCCUCCGCGGGCAAGGAUGUCAUGCAGGCACGCUACAUUCGUCCCUGCAAGGUGGCGCGCUGGACACUGGAGCAGCCAGGUAGCUGGAUGAGCAUCCCCCAACACAAGGCGCACACGCGCCGGUGCGCGGCACCGCGACCAGCAGCGCUCUCCGCUGCACGCACGUGCCUAGAGGAGCAUCGCCACCCCCGCCUUCUCCGCGUGCACAUCCAGCCCACGCGCCGCAUCGGUCCACACGCUGCAGAGGUCAACAAAGUACCCACGUCUCGGCCUGCCGAGCGCCCGGGGGUCUGCCUGCACGAAUGCGGCCCGUCAACGGAUCGCCUCCGCUACUCCUACAUGGCACGGUUUGAAUCAACGGUGCUCCACGGUGCCGCCGCGUGGUUGGAUGGCGCUGGUCGGAAACUGCGCGAAGCCCUUGCGCACCUUCACGCCCAAACAGUAGCAGUCAUCGUGGGUACCCUGUAAUACCCAGGCAACAGAGGCCUACUCGAAGAGGCGGAGCUCCUGCCUCUCGACCCCAUAGCGCUGCUGCGCCGCGCACGCCUGCAUCCCUCCGCAGCCACGCCAGGAGGCCGCCUUGCGCACUUGGCGUGGGGAUGGGUGCACGCGCCGCAUGGCGGUGUCGUCACAACGCCUCCGCAGCUCUCACGCCGGUGUGCAGGCAUCGACACCCCUGCGGAGCUCCGCACGCCCGUUGCGCAGCUCUCCCCUACCCGCUGGUGCACAGAUGGUGCAGCACAGAUACAAGCAGAUCACGUGCCGCCGUGAUGCUCUAUCGCGAUCAUGCACGCACAGAUGCGCACGGGCAAGGGGCGGCGGCGCCUUGCGUGCCGCGACAGCACCCAGCGUGCAGCAGUGGUGCCCAUGCCUCACCUGCCGCGACACAGGGAAGCACGUGUGGUCGCCCUUGCUGCGGGGUCGCUCUGCCGCCCUCAUGGCACCCGGCACGGGCCCCGUAACCGUGGAGGACGGCACAGCGCGACGGAUGUGGGCACGUGCGCUGGCGCUGCGGUGGCCCGUCGCGCGCGCCUCUCAUCUUUGCUGUGACUAUUGUGAACUGGAACACAUGACCAAAUGUGACAAGCUUGCGAGAUCUGCAACGGCAGAGGAGCAGACGCAAACUCUAUGGGUGGCGGACUCGGCCACGAGUCUUAGACGCCAGGCGGACAUCCACCGUAACUGCACGACAGAUACCACCACCUUUGCCCUUGCGCUGGACCUGGGCGUGACCCGCGAGGAUGGAAGCAUGCAGCCCACCCGGGCCUGACUGGAGCGGAUCGUGCGGCGCGUAUCCGAAGAGGGGAUGAGGAGGGGCCAAGAGGAGCCCGCUAGACGCAUGACCCGAUUCGACGGCAUGCAGUGGAUCCUAGACGACUCGGGUGCAGCCACAGCGCAGCAGCGAUGGGUUGGCUGUGGCUGUGUAUGCGUAUAGUCUAGCUGCCUUAUUCGUGGUCGAACGAGCACCCUUGGAAAAGAAAAAAAAGUGUAUCUUUCUUUUUUCAGGUAGGGGUCUUCGGACGUCCGCGGUGUGAUGCACAGAAACAACAUCUGUGCAGUGUUCCCCAGGCUUCCCUUUUUCCCUUUUUCUCAUUCAGUGGCGAUGGCAUGCCAUAAGGAGCGUUUCUUUGUUUUUCCUCUUCCCGCCAUGACCUUAUCUACUGCCGCACUAGCGUGUGGAGGAGGAGCCAAUGCGGAGGGAGAGAGCGAUGCCCGGUGAUGCAGAGCGGAGCAUGGAGGAGAGGUAAGGCUGCCCGCGCGGGGGUGCGGUGAGAGGUCACCGGAGGAGAGCGAGAGUGCCUGAAUCGUGAAAGACAGAUGCCCCUUCUACCACCUGCUGUUUCCCCGUUGUGGUGCAUAGAGGCGUCAUCAGCGCAAUAAAACCACCUCUUUCGUGACUUACGCGUGCGCAUGUGAUGUUGUCGAGUAUCACAUUCUGUGCAGGAUGGGGUGACCGAAAGUAAACGGAAAAGAGAGGCAGAAAAUAGAAAUAUCGGAGUGACAUGUCUUCGCGGAACCGUACAUGCAUGAGAGACGGAUCCACCUGCACAGACCCUCAUGCGUGCAAUCGGUGAACGCAUAAGCGGAUGCUGCCCUCCUUCCUCCUCAACCUUUUUUUCUUCCGCAUACCUUCUCACAUGGAAG